AUCGGAUAGGUAUUACCCACUGUGGUGUACGUACACAUUUAUCCACUCCACCGUUGCCUCGGCUUCCAAAACACCCCAGUUCUUCGAAGCAGCUGGACUGAGCACCUGGUGUGAAUGGAGCUGAACAUCCUUAUUGAUUUCUGCAGGGAGGAGAGGUCCAGACAUUGUGGCUCCCUCACUGCAUCCUCAGCAUGGAAAGCAAGCAACACGAGAAAAGCAUGAAGAAUGUUACUGUGUGUGUUUUUGAAGACAACUUUGAAGCAAAAAAUGAAAAGAUUUCCUAUGAAGACUAUAACACAGCUGUAUGUUGACCUACCAAAAAUGACCUUACAUGGGUUUAGUAUGUUUCUCUAUAUUUUCAGCAUGAAGGAAAUUAGGGACACCUACAGUAUCAUUUCAAACCUCUGUCUUGUUAAUAGCCAAUACUCAAAGUGCCUGUGGCCUUUUAUUUAAGACCACAGUAAUGGUGGCUGGACAGUGUUGAAAUUAUUGACUGAACUGUCCAUUAAAUCAAAUAUGAAACAUUCAAAGUCAUCUGAGGCACAAUACGUAAUGAGAAACCUUUUUGCUCUUUAGAACAGUGAGUCUUAAAUGUAUUUUUGAGCCUAAUCAAUAUCAUAAAUCAGAAGAGAAAAAGUCUACUGUAGGUCUUGAAACUUUAAACUUUGCAACUUUUCAAAGCGUAAUUACAGUGUACAAAUAGGAUUUUACCCAAAGCAAUGAGCAUGUUGUUUUUUCAUGCCUUGAAGGACAUUUCAAAGGUUUGGCCGAGGCUGAAACCACAGGGGGACAGCUGGUUAGCGUAGGAACGUGUUAGUGAGAAGUUCAUGUGUGCAUCUCUCCGUUACUGCUGUCAGCUAUGCUAUAUGGACGCUCUGUGAAGCAAUCUGCUCUAAUAAGGAGAGCGAAUAAAGCUGAAAGUGUUGUGCUGUAGCUAAACGCUGUAGAGAGGUAUUUGGAUGAUACUGUAGUCUGUGUAUGUAUGUAUUCCUUUUCUUCUACAAAUAUUCCAAAAUUAAUCUUUGUAGGUUUUCUCAGUUUUUAAAUAUUUCUGUCUUUUUAUUUUUAUGUUUCUGCAUGCAAUUUAUAUUACUCAGAAAUACUUACAGAAAUACAAUUGUUUGAAUCUACUUUGAAACAUACAUAAUGGUUAUAAUAUUUUGGAAUUGAAUUUUAGUUUUGGCUAUUUUAUGAUUUUACUUUUUCAUGCUUUUGGAUUCAUACCUGUCUAAACAUAAACUGUAUAUGGAAAGCAUGGACAUCUGAAAAGGCUUAUCAAAGUUUUUUUGUGAAUAAAGAGAAACACACUGAGUUGUGAAUAUGAUCAUUAGUAGUACAUGAGUUUGUACAGAAUAUAAAGUUUUGUGACCAAUAAAAGC